rnacentral:rRNA from 1 species
AGUGGCGAACGGGUGAGUAAUACAUCGGAACGUGCCCUGUUGUGGGGGAUAACUAGUCGAAAGAUUAGCUAAUACCGCAUACGACCUGAGGGUGAAAGCGGGGGACCGUAAGGCCUCGCGCAAUAGGAGCGGCCGAUGUCUGAUUAGCUAGUUGGUGGGGUAAAGGCCUACCAAGGCGACGAUCAGUAGCUGGUCUGAGAGGACGAUCAGCCACACUGGGACUGAGACACGGCCCAGACUCCUACGGGAGGCAGCAGUGGGGAAUUUUGGACAAUGGGGGCAACCCUGAUCCAGCAAUGCCGCGUGUGUGAAGAAGGCCUUCGGGUUGUAAAGCACUUUUGUCCGGAAAGAAAUCGCGCUGGCUAAUACCUGGCGUGGAUGACGGUACCGGAAGAAUAAGCACCGGCUAACUACGUGCCAGCAGCCGCGGUAAUACGUAGGGUGCGAGCGUUAAUCGGAAUUACUGGGCGUAAAGCGUGCGCAGGCGGUUUUGUAAGACAGGCGUGAAAUCCCCGGGCUCAACCUGGGAAUUGCGCUUGUGACUGCAAGGCUAGAGUGCGU